rnacentral:rRNA from 1 species
UACGGGGGGAGCAAGCGUUGUUCGGAUUUACUGGGCGUAAAGGGCGCGUAGGCGGCCACCGCAAGUCGAACGUGAAAUCCCCGAGCUCAACUCGGGAACUGCGUCCGAUACUGGCGGGCUUGAAUCCGGGAGAGGGAUGCGGAAUUCCAGGUGUAGCGGUGAAAUGCGUAGAUAUCUGGAGGAACACCGGUGGCGAAGGCGGCAUCCUGGACCGGCAUUGACGCUGAGGCGCGAAAGCUAGGGGAGCAAACGGG